UACGGAGGGUGCAAGCGUUGUCCGGAAUCACUGGGCGUAAAGGGCGCGUAGGCGGCUCAUGAAGGCUGUGGUGAAAGUCCGGGGCUCAACCUCGGAUCGGCCGUGGCGACUCGUGGGCUGGAGCACUGUAGAGGCGGGUGGAAUUCCGGGUGUAGCGGUGGAAUGCGUAGAGAUCCGGAAGAACACCAGUGGCGAAGGCGGCCCGCUGGGCAGUGGCGUGACGCUGAGCGCGACAGCGUGGGGAGCAAACAGG
rnacentral:rRNA from 1 species